rnacentral:rRNA from 1 species
UACGUAGGGGGCUAGCGUUGUCCGGAAUCAUUGGGCGUAAAGCGCGUGUAGGCGGUCCGGUAAGUCCGCUGUGAAAGUCGAGGGCUCAACCCUCGAAUGCCGGUGGAUACUGUCGGGCUUGAGUACGGGAGAGGCGAGUGGAAUUCCUGGUGUAGCGGUGAAAUGCGCAGAUAUCAGGAGGAACACCGAUGGCGAAGGCAGCCUCCUGGGAUGACACUGACGCUCAUACACGAAAGCGUGGGGAGCAAACAGG